GGGAGAUGAUUGAAAGAUGGUUUCGGCUAUCACUUACAGAUGGGCCCGCGGUGCAUUAGCUAGUUGGUGAGGUAACGGCUCACCAAGGCAACGAUGCAUAGCCGACCUGAGAGGGUGAUCGGCCACACUGGGACUGAGACACGGCCCAGACUCCUACGGGAGGCAGCAGUAGGGAAUCUUCCGCAAUGGACGAAAGUCUGACGGAGCAACGCCGCGUGAGUGAUGAAGGCUUUCGGGUCGUAAAACUCUGUUGUUAGGGAAGAACAAGUACGAGAGUAACUGCUCGUACCUUGACGGUACCUAACCAGAAAGCCACGGCUAACUACGUGCCAGCAG
rnacentral:rRNA from 2 species